GACGAACGCUGGCGGCGUGCUUAACACAUGCAAGUCGAACGAUGAAGCCUAGCUUGCUAGGUGGAUUAGUGGCGAACGGGUGAGUAAUACGUGAGUGACCUACCUUUGACUCUGGGAUAAGCCUGGGAAACUGGGUCUAAUACCGGAUAUGACCAAUCUCCGCAUGGGGUGUUGGUGGAAAGCGUUAUGGAGUGGUUUUAGAUGGGCUCACGGCCUAUCAGCUUGUUGGUGAGGUAAUGGCUUACCAAGGCGACGACGGGUAGCCGGCCUGAGAGGGUGACCGGCCACACUGGGACUGAGACACGGCCCAGACUCCUACGGGAGGCAGCAGUGGGGAAUAUUGCACAAUGGGCGCAAGCCUGAUGCAGCGACGCCGCGUGAGGGAUGACGGCCUUCGGGUUGUAAACCUCUGUUAGCAUCGAAGAAGCGAAAGUGACGGUAGGUGCAGAGAAAGCGCCGGCUAACUACGUGCCAGCAGCCGCGGUAAUACGUAGGGCGCGAGCGUUGUCCGGAAUUAUUGGGCGUAAAGAGCUUGUAGGCGGUUGGUCGCGUCUGCUGUGAAGGCUGGGGCUUAACCCUGGUUUUGCAGUGGGUACGGGCUAACUAGAGUGCAGUAGGGGAGACUGGAAUUCCUGGUGUAGCGGUGGAAUGCGCAGAUAUCAGGAGGAACACCGAUGGCGAAGGCAGGUCUCUGGGCUGUAACUGACGCUGAGAAGCGAAAGCAUGGGGAGCGAACAGGAUUAGAUACCCUGGUAGCCCAUGCCGUAAACGUUGGGCACUAGGUGUGGGGGACAUUCCACGUUUUCCGCGCCGUAGCUAACGCAUUAAGUGCCCCGCCUGGGGAGUACGGCCGCAAGGCUAAAACUCAAAGAAAUUGACGGGGGCCCGCACAAGCGGCGGAGCAUGCGGAUUAAUUCGAUGCAACGCGAAGAACCUUACCAAGGCUUGACAUAUACUGGACUGCGUCAGAGAUGGCGUUUCCCUUCGGGGCUGGUAUACAGGUGGUGCAUGGUUGUCGUCAGCUCGUGUCGUGAGAUGUUGGGUUAAGUCCCGCAACGAGCGCAACCCUCGUUCUAUGUUGCCAGCACGUGAUGGUGGGGACUCAUAGGAGACUGCCGGGGUCAACUCGGAGGAAGGUGGGGAUGACGUCAAAUCAUCAUGCCCCUUAUGUCUUGGGCUUCACGCAUGCUACAAUGGGCGGUACAGAAGGUUGCGAUACUGUGAAGUGGAGCUAAUCCCUAAAAGCCGGUCUCAGUUCGGAAUGGGGUCUGCAACUCCGACCCCUGAAGUCCGAGUCCCUAGUAAUCCCAAAUCAGCAACCCUGCCGUGAAUACGUUCCCGGGCCU
rnacentral:rRNA from 1 species